AACGCAAAUUGCGCCCGAGGCCUCGGCCGAGGGCAUGUCUGCCUCAGCGUCGGCUUUCACCCUCGCCCACCCCUCUCCUUCCCUAGUGCUGGAGAGUCGGUUGGGCGGAUCUGGCCCUCCCGGCUCGGCUAGGCUCUGGCCUGGCUCCGGGUCGGCUGAAGCUCAGAGGCUUGAGCAUGGACCCCGUUUGUAGGGAAAUGGCUUGGUAGGUAGGUACCCCCUACGAAGCCCUGCCGUUGCCCGAGGGGACUUUGCUGGAGGCCUUGCAAGGUUCGGAUGUCUGCCCCGGUGGCUCCGAACGAUUUCAAACCUUCGACCUGAGCUCAGGCAAGACUACCCGCUGAACUUAA
rnacentral:misc_RNA from 1 species